UAGUCAUAUGCUUGUCUCAAAGAUUAAGCCAUGCAUGUCUAAGUAUAAACAUCUUUAUACAGUGAAACUGCGUACAGCUCAUUAUAUCAGUUAUUAUUUAUUUGAUGGUACCUUACUACAUGGAUACCCGUAGUAAUUCUAGAGCUAAUACAUGCGUAAAGUCCCGACUUUUUGGAAGGGAUGUAUUUAUUAGAUUAAAAACCAAUGCAGGCAACUGCUCCUUUGGUGAUUCAUAGUAACUUUAACGGAUCGCACGGCUUCACGCUGGCGACAGUUC
rnacentral:rRNA from 1 species